GUCCUCGGGGUUGGGUGGAAUUCCCAACCGGCGGUAAGUCGGCUUUAGCUGACACAGCCCGCGAACCCCGGCGUCGCCCGCCUCCAAGGUGUCGGCGUUCUUCGGGGCCGAUCAGGUGAGAAUCCUGGGCCGACGGUCAAAGUCCGGAUGGGAGAGGACG
rnacentral:ncRNA from 1 species